UACAGAGGUCUCGAGCGUUAGGCGGAAUCACUGGGCUUAAAGCGUGUGUAGGCGGAUCGUUAAGUGCCUUGUGAAAUCCCACGGCUCAACCGUGGAACUGCUUGGCAUACUGGCGGUCUUGAGCAACCUAGGGGCGAGCGGAACAAAUGGUGGAGCGGUGAAAUGCGUAGAUAUCGUUUGGAACGCCAAUGGUGAAAACAGGUUGCUGGGGAUGUGCUGACGCUGAGACACGAAAGCCAGGGGAGCAAACGGG
rnacentral:rRNA from 1 species